rnacentral:rRNA from 1 species
UACGGGGGGGGCAAGCGUUGUUCGGAAUUACUGGGCGUAAAGGGCUUGUAGGUGGCCAACUAAGUCAGACGUGAAAUCCCUCGGCUUAACCGGGGAACUGCGUCUGAUACUGGAUGGCUUGAGUGUGGGAGAGGGAUGCGGAAUUCCAGGUGUAGCGGUGAAAUGCGUAGAUAUCAGGAGGAACACCGGUGGCGAAGGCAGCCCCCUGGGCUAACACUGACGCUCAGGCACGAAAGCGUGGGGAGCAAACAGG